CUAUCCAAUGUGGGCGAGUGAAUCUUAAGGAUGAAUUCUUGUUAAACUAAUUAUUUUCGGUCCUUGCCUUAAGGUGAGUCAAGGAUCAAGUAUAGGAAAAUGAAGUUAAUUACAGAGUUUUGAUUGUUUGUAUUGUUUUUCAAUCAAAAUACAGCUUUAAUUUUUGGCCUCCCACUGUCCUUUUAAAAUACAUUCACUGGCUCUGAUCUUGCGUUGCCUCUAGGAGAAAUUGGGGCAGUUCUCAUGAGCCUUUUGUUUACUCUUAGAUGAAUAGAUCUUUAAGUCACAAAGUCUUCACAAAAUGCAGUCCCAACUUAGAAACCAAAAUGUCAAGGAAAAAAAAGUAUAAAUAAAAUAGAAGGAUCAACUCUUCAACAUUCAUUCACAGGUAAGCCUUCUCCUCUUUCCCAGCUAAAGCCUCUGUAGUUGGCCACCUGUGUGCACAGGGCUUGCUGUUGGCUUCUUCUCUGAUGUUCUUCGUCCACCCCUCAUUCACUAGGGAGUGUCUGGACCCCCAUCAAGGGUGAAACAGAGGACGGGAGGAGAGAAGAAAACUUGCACUUGGUUGUCCCGGCCAUGCUUCUCAGUGGUUUCAAGGGCUGUACUGAGGUUUCCUACAUGCAGAGGGCAUUGGCUUAAGACACAGGCAAAAGCCUAGCUUCAGUGGUGCAACCCCCACCCUCAGGCACACAUUGCUAACAUCCUUCUCUCUCCCAGAAGUUCCAGCCACCUGGGCCACAUAUUGGCCAUGGGAAGCAUGUGGGCAUCCUCUGGAAGAUUGCAAUCUGAGCAGUUCCAGCUCAGCCAGCCUGACUAUCCUACUGAGCAGUUAGCCUUUCUCUAACCUGAGCUACAGUCAGACCCAGGUGCGAGCGACCAUGCUACACAUCAUCAGAGCUUGCAGCUGGAUUCUGAGAUCCCCCAUGGAGAAGGAAAGAAUUUAUUUCACCAGCAUCCCAAGUUUUACUGCAUCAGUGACGUUCCCUUAAUUGUGCGAAGCCUCCAAAAGUUACAAAACAAUAUCUUAAUUAAAAAUUUUGAGAGAAAGGUCACUUUUGAUUUCAUUCAGUUACUCACUCAU
rnacentral:lncRNA from 1 species